rnacentral:rRNA from 1 species
AACGAACGCUGGCGGCAGGCUUAACACAUGCAAGUCGAACGCCCCGCAAGGGGAGUGGCAGACGGGUGAGUAACGCGUGGGAAUCUACCCAGUUCUACGGAACAACUGAGGGAAACUUCAGCUAAUACCGUAUACGCCCUACGGGGGAAAGAUUUAUCGGAAUUGGAUGAGCCCGCGUUGGAUUAGCUAGUUGGUGAGGUAACGGCUCACCAAGGCGACGAUCCAUAGCUGGUCUGAGAGGAUGAUCAGCCACACUGGGACUGAGACACGGCCCAGACUCCUACGGGAGGCAGCAGUGGGGAAUAUUGGACAAUGGGCGCAAGCCUGAUCCAGCCAUGCCGCGUGAGUGAUGAUGGCCUUAGGGUUGUAAAGCUCUUUCAGUGGGGACGAUAAUGACGGUACUCACAGAAGAAGCCCCGGCUAACUUCGUGCCAGCCGCCGCAGUAAUAC